rnacentral:pre_miRNA from 18 species
AAUGUCUGUUCAUGUGACCCGUGGACUUCCCUUUGUCAUCCUAUGCCUGAGAAUAUAUGAAGGGGGCUGGGAAGGCAAAGGGACGUUCAACUGUCAUCACUGGC